UGAACGCUGGCGGCGUGCUUAACACAUGCAAGUCGAACGGAAAGGCCCAAGCUUGCUUGGGUACUCGAGUGGCGAACGGGUGAGUAACACGUGGGUGAUCUGCCCUGCACUUCGGGAUAAGCCUGGGAAACUGGGUCUAAUACCGGAUAGGACCACAUUUUGGAUGGUGUGGUGGAAAGUUUUUCGGUGUGGGAUGAGCUCGCGGCCUAUCAGCUUGUUGGUGGGGUAAUGGCCUACCAAGGCGUCGACGGGUAGCCGGCCUGAGAGGGUGUACGGCCACAUUGGGACUGAGAUACGGCCCAGACUCCUACGGGAGGCAGCAGUGGGGAAUAUUGCACAAUGGGCGCAAGCCUGAUGCAGCGACGCCGCGUGGGGGAUGACGGCCUUCGGGUUGUAAACUCCCUUCGCUAGGGACGAAGCGUUUUUGUGACGGUACCUGGAGAAGAAGCACCGGCUAACUACGUG
rnacentral:rRNA from 1 species